rnacentral:lncRNA from 1 species
GAAAAGUAAUGGUUACUAACUUGUAGAAAGUUAUAGCAACACAUUUAGAAGAUACUAUUCCUAUUCCAGACGGCAUCGUUCACCCAAAUUAUCCUUGUGAUCCUCUGGAGAUGAAAGAAAGACUUGAUGAAAGAUAAAACCGUGUUGUGCUGAUGCAGGAGACAACCGCGAAGAUGGGGACAGAAUCAGUAACAUCGACGUAAGGGAAUUGAAGCAGAAGAUCACGCUGCCUGCAGACACCAGGAAACGCCAAGACCCCCCUUCCACGAACCAACAUUCUUCCACCCUCUCCAACUUUUUUCUGGAACCCCUUCACUUCCAACGCCACUCAAUGUACACUUCACUUUCUCGUGCUCUUCCUAAGAGAGUAGUGUUUUCUUCCUCCCCACCGAGAAAAAAAAUAAAAGCAACAACUGGAACUUCUUCCUUACCCUGCCUUGUCUGCAGACCCUGGAGGCCCCUUCCAUUUCCCCUUGUCCUUUUCCUUGUCUUUUUUGGUUCCCGCCGCAGUGGUCGAGUCGCCCUCGAACACGCUGAACAGCUCAUCUCCGAAUGCGUCCGCCAUUUUUGGGAGCAGUGAGAGCAAAUCUCCCUCCUACCCACGAUGCCCCGCGACCGAAGACAGUGACGUCUCGUGAAGGCUCAACAGUGGCCCGCAGGAGACAAAAGUAGUCGAGUCGCG